AUUGAACGCUGGCGGCAUGCCUUACACAUGCAAGUCGAACGGCAGCACGGGAGCAAUCCUGGUGGCGAGUGGCGAACGGGUGAGUAAUAUAUCGGAACGUGCCCGGUCGUGGGGGAUAACGUAGCGAAAGCUACGCUAAUACCGCAUACGAUCUACGGAUGAAAGCGGGGGAUCGCAAGACCUCGCGCGAUUGGAGCGGCCGAUAUCAGAUUAGGUAGUUGGUGAGGUAAAGGCUCACCAAGCCGACGAUCUGUAGCUGGUCUGAGGGGACGACCAGCCACACUGGGACUGAGACACGGCCCAGACUCCUACGGGAGGCAGCAGUGGGGAAUUUUUGGACAAUGGGCGAAAGCCUAGAUCCAGCAAUGCUGCGUGCA
rnacentral:rRNA from 1 species